UACGGGGGGAGCAAGCGUUGUUCGGAUUUACUGGGCGUAAAGGGCGCGUAGGCGGCACCGCAAGUCGACUGUGAAAUCUCCGGGCUUAACCCGGAAAGGUCAGUCGAUACUGCGGGGCUAGAGUGCAGAAGGGGCAACUGGAAUUCUCGGUGUAGCGGUGAAAUGCGCAGAUAUCAGGAGGAACACCGAUGGCGAAGGCAGGUCUCUGGGCCGAUACUGACGCUGAGGAGCGAAAGCGUGGGGAGCGAACAGG
rnacentral:rRNA from 1 species